UGGAGAUGCUAUGAAUGCUAAAUGAGAAACUGCUAAUGCUAGCACGACCAAGACUCAGACUAAAGAGAAACUGACGAGUUCCGGACUGCUCUAGUGAGCGAAUUGCUUUGAGUUGUUCUGUUUGAUACAAGACUCCGAUUGGUUUUUUUGAAUUGCUGGAUCUACAUCGGAGUGACAGCGUUGAUGUCAAGGAGGAUUCGGCCUGAUUCAAGGCGGGAUUGAAAACGACCAUUUUUCUUCAACUUCAACCAACUUUUGGAGCAUUACCCUGGGAGCAGAUAAGCUCACCUUCACUACAACAUCUUUCAUACAAUAUACAGUCACACUACCCGGGUAGUACACACAUACACUGAAUAGGAGACGGACAUUGAAGCACGGCAGCAAUUGGCUGUGAAGGGACGAUUCGACCAAGUAAUAUUUUUUAUUUACAUGGUUCAGGUGUUGUUUUAUAUAUAUAUAUAUAUAUAUAUAUAUAUAUAUAUAUAUAUAUAUAUGUGUUGUAUAAUAGUUUAAUAAAUGUCGUGUUGUAUAUUUUUCCUAGUCGCUCUUGCUCCUUGAGUCGAACCUAGGUAUAAUAAGGUGUUCCAUUCGUAGCAGCACCAAAAGAAAAUUACCGUGUUACACACACACAUAUAUAUAUAUAUAUUUUUUUUUUAAAAUAGUGCCCCCCACCCCACCCCAGUAUCAGAUCGGGUCGCUGUAUCUGCAGAUUCUCAAAAUCAGGUUACUUUGACAUCCCUACUUUGUGUUAAUGUAUAAUAAAUGAAGUGUAAGUAGUUUGUUAGGCUUGUUCUACCGACGUUAUCAUGUGACUAUUCAAACUCAUAGCAAGCUAAUAGGAGGGCUAAAAGAUUAACUAACAUUUAAAAAAAAACGAAAAAAAAACUCCACUAUGGGAUCGGGACUCUGUAUCGGCAGAUUCUCAAAACCAGGUGACUCAGACUCAGGUGUGAAAAUAUAGAAUAGAAUAGCCCUUUAUUGUCAUUAUACGGUUGUACAAUGAAAUUGGGGAGCAUCUCCCUUUACGGUGCAGGACAAGUAAAAGUAAAAAAUCUCGAAGUGGUUUGCAAGAGUAAGUAUAAAAUCUAAAUAAAUAUAAAAUAUGUAUGAGGUAGUCCUAUGUUCAGACAGUGCAAAUAAUUGAAGUGAAGUAGCAGCAGUUGACAAUGAAGGCAUUGAAUAUUGCAGAUUUAUAUUGCACGUAAGUAAGUAUUGCACAUAGAAUAUGUGUGAGUAGAAGUUGACAGUGAGGCAUUGAAUAUUGCACUUAGUAAGUAUUGCACAUAGUAUAUUGCAUGUAAAUGAAUAUUGGACAUUGGGUGAUGUGGUGUUAAAUAUGGCUGUUCGGGGUGGAGAUGGCUUUAGCGAUCGGGGCAUCCCUACUCUGUGUAUUUAAUGUAUGUCAUUAAGUAGUUUGAUAGAUCAUUCUAGUGACGUUAUCACAUGACUACUCAAGCUGAUAGCAAGCACGGAGUUCUAAAAGACGAGCUAACUUUGGCAUUUCAUCUCUCUGUUUGUGCCUUAAAAAGUUCUAUUCUCUUGUUUCAUAUACAUCAGCAUUGCGGUGUGUAUAUUUUGAUUGUUUACAUUCCGAAGGAGUUACAUUGCAUUGCUGUGAGUGGGAAUGCUCUAUUACAGUACAUAUUAUUUUUCGUAUGAUGAUUCAUAGACUUCAUAACCUAUUGACAUGACAUGGGAAACGGGGCCGAUUCGUAAAGGGCUAUUUUCUAAAAAACUUCAAAUUAAAAUAUUUAUAAAACCAAAGCUGCUACCAACCUAAAACCAAAACAAGCACCUACGUUCGCCAUAUAUGAGUCUCCAUGAGCAGCGGCAUCAAAAAAUUCAAAGUCGUCCCCUUAGUAAAAUCCUGAUUAAUUAUUUUCUAUAUAAGUAUAACACAACUUAAAAUGGCUAUAAAAGUCUCAGAUUUUACACUAGAUGCACACAAAUCACCAAAUGCAGAGAUAAUCACCUAUAUUUUCAGGAUCAAUAGCAAUAUUUAACAUACACGUUUUUGACCAAAAUUGCAAAUAAUUUUUUUUUUGUUUACUGCAAGUUUUCAACAGCUAAUAAAUCACUCAAUUUAACAUCAGAAACUUAAUACUUGAGGAAAACAUGCAGAAUAAAUCAUAAAUAAUAUGUAAAUUGAUCAUUAAUAAAUUCUAUAUACAAUCACAACUUGUUAUAGAAUAGAAUAGCCCUUUUUUUAUCAUUAUACACUAUAUACUGUUAGCGAAUGAGGCUAGCGGCCGCCUGGCGUAAACAGAGCUUUUCUGGCAAAAAUUCUUGUGAAUAAAUGCUUAAAUCCCCGAAUUCUUCAUAGAUAUGGAUGUAAAACAGUCUUGAUUCUUGGUUAUAAGCAAAGAAAACAUACAAUUAGCGUUUAUUUUACGUAUAAUGACGAAGUACCAUGCUACUAUGUUAGCGAAUGAGGCUAGCGGCCGCCUGCCGUAAAAGGAGCUUUUCUGGCAAAAAUUCUUGUGAAUAAAUGUUUAAAUCCCCAAAUUCUUCAUAGAUAUGGACUAGGGCUUUCAAAAUGAUCGCGUUAACGGGCGGUAAUUAUUUUUUUAAAUUAAUCACGUUUAAAUAUUUGACGCAAUUAACGCACAUGCCCCGCUCAAACUGAUUAAAAUGACAGCACAGUGUCAUGUCCACUUGUUACUUGUGUUUUUUUGGUGUUUUGUCGCCCUCUGCUGGCGCUUGGGUGCGACUGAUUUUGUGAGUUUCAGCACGAUGAGCAUUGUGUAAUUAUUGACAUCAACAAUGGCGAGCUGCGAGUUUGUUUUUUAAAUGAAAAUUUACAAAUUUUAUCAAAACGAAAACAUUAAGAGGGGUUUUAAUAUAAAAUUUCUUUAACUUGUACUAACAUUUAUCUUUUAAGAACUACAAUUCUUUCUAUCCAUGGAUCGCUUUAACAGAAUGUUCAUAAUGCCAUCUUGUUGAUUUAUUGUUAUAAUAAACAAAUACAGUACUUAUGUACCGUAUGUUGAAUGUAUAUACAUUCAUCUUGUGUCUUAUCUUUCCAUUCCAACAAUAAUUUACAGAAAAAUAUGGCAUAUUUUAUAGAUGGUUUGAAUUGCGACUAAUUACGAUUAAUAAAUUUUUAAGCUGUGAUUAACUCGAUUAAAAAUUUUAAUCCUUUGACAGCCCUAAUAUGGACGUAAAACAGUCUCGAUUCUUGGUUAAAAAGCAAAGAAACCGUGCAGGUAGCAUUUAUUUCGCGUAAAACUAUGCCAACUAUGAGGCUAGGAAGUUACGAAAAUUAGCCGCUUCCAUGUGUAAGCAAAGAAGAAAAUUCCUGCGAAGAAAUGCUUCAAUCACGCAUGCAUGGUACGAAAAAUAUAAUAUUUACCUAGAAUCCUCAAACAAAUCACUCCUGAGACAAUUCUUCCUGUUUGCACACGGUACAGCUUUCGUAGUUAAAUCCAAUCGUAAGUAAAUCCAAGUUUAAAUCCAACAUGAGCGUGUGCCGUCUUCGGCUAUUGCUAAAUGAAGCUCGGCCCCCUCUGAUAAAGUGUGAUGCAAUGAAUGACGAAGUUUCAGGUCAAUAGAUUUUUGAAGUCUAUGGAAGAUUAAUUCUUCAUAGUAUGAAGCAAAGAAGCGAAGGGGGGAUCGUAAAAUGAAUUUUUUGUGUACCGACGCUUUUGUAUCCCGAGCAGGGGUCGCGUUAACCCAAUAUUUUCUGUCGUUGGCCGGUUUUCUAAAACGGUGCAAGAAAAACUGAAGUCCAUCUGUCAUUUUGACAGGUUGCAAUUCAAACCCCAGACCACAGGGUGGUGAGUGAGCAUAUUAAUCAGCUAUUGUCUCUCCUGAUGCAUGAUGUCGUUGGCCUUACUCGAAAAAAUGUCAAGGCAACUGAGUGUCCGAACUAAGGCUACAUUCAUACUACAGGUCUUAAUGCACGAAUCCGAUUUUUUCGUGUUUUUCAGACUCGAGUGAGGCAUUAAUUUGAAGGUCUGAACGUGACAAGUCGCAUAGAACGGCACCAUUUCAAAUCCGAUCUGGGUCACUUUCGUAUGUGGUCUAAAUCUGAUCUGGGCCACAUUUUUUCAGACUGUCGCGGCGGUCUGUACUGUCCAGUCCCGCAAAUCGGAUUUAAUGCAGCAAUUACGUCAUCAAGAGAGACGGUACGGUAGCUACG